rnacentral:rRNA from 1 species
AGAGUUUGAUCCUGCUCAGGACGAACGCUGGCGGCGUGCUUAACACAUGCAAGUCGAGGGUAGCAAUACACUGGCGCAAGGGUGCGUAACGCGUAGAUUAUCUGCCCCAUACACUAACAUAACGCUUGGAAACGGGUGCUAAUAUUAGAUGAGGUGCUUCGGCAUCAAAGUUUCGACGGUAUGGGAUGAGUCUGCGUCUGAUUAGCUAGUUGGUAGUGUAAUGGACUACCAAGGCGACGAUCAGUAGCUGGUCUGAGAGGACGAUCAGCCACACUGGAACUGAGACACGGUCCAGACUCCUACGGGAGGCAGCAGUGAGGAAUUUUGCGCAAUGGACGAAAGUCUGACGCAGCGACGCCGCGUGUGGGAUGAAGGGGCUACGCCCUGUAAACCACUGUUAGAUGUGAAAAAAAGAUAGCUUUGCUGUCCGGGAUUGUAACAUCAAAGAAAGGACCGGCUAACUACGUGCCAGCAGCCGCGGUAAUACGUAGGGUCCGAGCGUUGUCCGGAAUUACUGGGUAUAAAGGGUGCGUAGGCGGGCUUUUACGUCAAGGGUUAAAGACUUCAGCUCAACUGAGGGAAUGCCUUUGAAACGGGAAGUCUUGAAUGUAAGAGAGGUAGGUAGAAUUCCUGGUGUAGCGGUGAAAUGCGUAGAUAUCAGGAGGAAUACCAGUGGCGAAGGCGGCCUACUGGCUUAUUAUUGACGCUGAGGCACGAAAGCGUGGGUAGCGAACAGGAUUAGAUACCCUGGUAGUCG